rnacentral:rRNA from 1 species
UACGGGGGGGGCAAGCGUUGUUCGGAAUUACUGGGCGUAAAGGGCUCGUAGGCGGCCAACUAAGUCAGACGUGAAAUCCCUAGGCUCAACCUAGGAACUGCGUCUGAUACUGGAUGGCUUGAAUCCGGGAGAGGGAUGCAGAAUUCCAGGUGUAGCGGUGAAAUGCGUAGAUAUCCGGAGGAACACCAGUGGCGAAAGCGGCCACCUGGACUGCACCUGACGCUGACACGCGAAAGCUAGGGGAGCGAACGGG